AUGACUGCCUUGAUGCUUUAUUUUCUUCUGAAAAUUUUGGUGAAAUCACCAAGAUCAAGAGGCAUUCAAGAAUCCAGAUUGCAUCAGAAGAGUUGUGCUAUAGCUGUGAUCAUAACUGAAGGCCAUGAUUCUGUUCACCUCUACCUUCAAAACAAAAAGGACUUUGUGCUCAGAAUGGCUGUAUUCAUUCCCUCACUACCUUCACAGGAUAUGAUCCUCCUCCAAAAGCCCUCCAAAACUUUCAACAGAAGGCCAAUGGCAUGCAGCAGGAGAGACCUCAGUGUUUAAACAGUAACUGCUUGCACUCAAGGACUGUCCUUGCUCAACGGUGCUGAUGGUGCAGGCAUGGCUGGCUGCAAGCAGGCAGAUCUGCGCAAGGAAACAAGGAAACAGUGCUGAUCAGCCAUCAAACUUUAUGUGCUCUCACUUCUUGUAGACAAGCAAAUUCACUUCCCUGUGCCAUCCCUGGGACCUUUUGUUUUCUCACUCUACAUGCAGAUACUGGCAGAGGAAACAAUGGAAAGCUGUCUUCAUUGAACUGGCAACAAAAAUACAACCGUAAAGGUUUCACAGACAGGGGAAAAUCUCCAGCUACAGCCAGGGGAAAAUCUCCAGCUACCAUGAUGUCAUGUUCACUUAUGAAAAGCAAAAAAAAAUACAGAUCUUGGUGACUAGAGAUGUGCCUGAAGCUAGAAACUCAGUGAAAGAGGAAUUGCAGCUGGCUACUGUGAACCAGAGAUGAGACUAAGCCAAAAAGAAACAGUGACAGCUUUUAUACAAUUAAUACAGGAUCUGUUCCAACAAAAUAACCUUUUCUGUUUUAUUUAAUCGUCCAAAAGAAAUGAAUAAUGGGAAGGAAGGUGGGAGGAAUAGCCUGGUUCAAGAAAAUCCUGGAUGAUGGAAACUCACUGGACUUGGUUGCUGCUUUUUUUCUCCUCUGAAGAAAUGAUGAAAGAAGUUAAGCAAGAGAAUCAAAAUCAAGUGAAUUCAGGACUCAACGGCUCCUUGCCAUUAAAAGAUAUUUUCCUAUUGGCAUGAUAAAGAGAAUGAAAGAGUCACAAAGGGCACUGAGGAGGCAAGAAGGGAAGGGGUUUGCUAGCCAUUAGAAUCAUUAUUUCCACCUUAGUGAUGAAUAGUCAGGAUCAGGAAAAAGGAAAAUAGUAAGAAACCUCUGUUGUGCAAGAGCAAGACAAAGGCAGAUGAACUGGCAACAGCUAACACUGACCUUGCUAUCAGGCGUAGAAAUGGUCUGCAAAUGUUCACAGCUGUUCAAAAAUACCAAGGCAACAGCUAGGAAAGCAGCCACCUCUUCCAUCUCUUUUCCACCUCUUCUGCCUUAGCUCUUGAGAGCACGACUGAAAAUAUGUAAAGAAGGUAAAGAAAAGAAUACACUCCUGCAAAAAAUGUACUGAAGAGUCAAUAUUCAUUUAAAUAUUUUAGUGCCAUGUUCUCAUGUUGUUACUGCCACUUUUCAUUGCAGAUUAUUGUAUGAACAAAAUAAUUCUGUGAAGGAAACUUUAUAGGUAAUCAACAAUCAUGACAGCACAUGUGGUUUCUUGUGCCUGAAAUUACUGUAAGAGAAAAAUUUGAGGCAUAGAAAUGGAAAAGCACACAGAAAAAAAGGAAAAAAGACAUAUUAGGCCCUGAGGAGGAAUUUCCCUCACCUAAAUUUAGAUGUCAGAAAGGUAGAAAUAUAGAAUCCCUCAGCACUCAGAGGUACUGCUGGAGGACAGUAAUUUCCUCACAAGAUAAAUGCCUAAAAUAGAUUAGAUCAAUUUAGAUUAAUUAUUUCCUGAAAUUGUCUAUAUUUGUCCAGUGGCCCCCGAGAAACAAUACACAGAUUACUAACUAACUUUUAAAUGGACAGUGCUAGGUAAGUUUUUCCCAUCAUAAGAGUGUGCUGAAUAUUACAUGCAAUGGCACAUCUCAGAGAAUCUCAUUAAUUCAUAUGCAUCAUCUCACACUUCCCAUAGAAACAGUAAAGCACCCAUUCUGUAUGUAAAUUAUGAAAAGGGGAGGACUGGAAACAAUCAUUAACUUUAUGAGAAAUAAGAAAAUACUUUUUAUUGUACUAUAGAUAUUAAAAUGAAAUAUUCUAGUAAUUUUUAUCUAAUAUUUAACAGGCAGCAUUGAAGGGGAGGAAAAAUAAUUGCCUGAAUGAUAAAAAUACUAGUUACUGUUGAAUUGAGCACUAAAUCAUCUAAGUAUAUAAGUAAACAUUCCUGCAGAGUUUUACAGCUAUAGGAGUAUACAAUGCUGUGGCAAAAAUGGCAUAUAUACUAAGCUAAAGCUUAGUAAAAUUUGAUGUGGAAGACUUUUGUUUGUGUUCUUCCUUCAUAAGACCCCCUCUGUUACUCUUACAGCCUAAGCAACAUGAUUCAUUUGCACUGUUGGAUUAUUUCUGUCCCACUAAGCAAAGUUGCUGCCUUUUUUCAUGUUUAUACACUCUUCAAAAACCAUUAAGACCCUGCCUGACUUUCACAGUAGCCAGUGUGUCUUUUGUUUGAACAAAAAGACACAGUCCUGAUUGUCAGUUUGGAAACAGACAUCUCUUUCUUUAUCAUCAUGCCCAGAUAUUAUUGCUCAUCUUUUCCGAAGUUGUGAUCCAAAGUAUCAUGAGAGGAAAUUAAAAGGCACAACAGGGGACAGAUGUAAAAGAGUGUCAUCCUUUGAAUUUACCGUCUUUUAUAAAUUCAAAUGAGAUUAUUUAUACAGGGUGAUCAAAUGAUGGUCAAACACGGAAACACUCAGCAGUUCAGUAAGGGUCUGUCUAACCAAGUAGUUAAAAAUUGUUUACUCUCAUGUGCAUGCCCUGACUCCCUUCUAAAAUACCAAACCAGCACUUUAAGCUUCAAGACCAUUUUUUCUUUAAGGAGACUUAUUGAAGUCUUCCUUUAAAGCUUAUGACUCUUCCAGUUGUCAGAUCUGUUUGAGUCAGAACACAUACAUGCUCUGUCUUAUUUCUUCCUCAGAAGGGAUCCAAACCUGUCUCAGUAAAGCCCAGAGUCACCCUCCCAUGUAAAGGUAGUAAAGAGAGAACAGGAAAGGAACAACGCUCAGAGGUGUUCUUGACCACAAUCUCCUAAGCACUUAGCACAGCUCAACAAACAAAAGUCUGUCUUGGUUAUUCAGAUAAUUCUAUUUCUAUAUAUGUAUCCAGAAGUCUACCCAUUUAAAAAAUAUAAUGAUUCAGCAGCGGCUCACAUUACCUGAUCUGCUCUGAAAAUAAUACCUCCUAUUUUAUUAAAUUGGACCAUCUCGUCAGAGAUUUUUUUGGUGGUAUGGUAGUAGAGGCUGAAGCUUCCUGCCAAUAUUCCAUUACAUGUUAUUGUCAUGUGACAGAUGUCAGCAGAGGGGCACCCUGACAAAACGGUCUCUGACAUGGAAGUAUCAAGCAAAGAUUCAAAAUUGAAUUCCUCUAUGUAGAAAAAAAUGGUACUCAUUGCUGUUUAUCAAUGCCUGCUGAAUGUUUGUGGAGAAUAAACAGUGGAUGUGAGUAAAAUGAGGCA
ensembl:lncRNA